rnacentral:rRNA from 1 species
AAAGAACUCGGGCGGCAGGCUUAACACAUGCAAGUCGAGCGCCCCGCAAGGGGAGCGGCAGACGGGUGAGUAACGCGUGGGAAUCUACCCAUCUCUACGGAAUAACGCAUGGAAACGUGUGCUAAUACCGUAUACGUCCUUCGGGAGAAAGCUUUAUCGGAGAUGGAAGAGCCCGCGUUGGCUUAGCUAGUUGGUGGGGUAAAGGCCUACCAAGGCGACGAUCAAUAGCUGGUCUGAGAGGAUGAUCAGCCACACUGUGACUGAGACACGUCCCAUACUCCUACGGGAGGCAGCAGUGGUUAAAAUUGGACAGUGGGCGCAAACCUGUUACAGCCAUGCCACGUAAGUGAUGACGGCACUUGGGUUGUAAAGCUAUUACACCUGUGAAGAUAAUGACGGUAACCUGAGAAGAAGCCCCGGAUAACUUCGUGCCAGCCGCCGCCGUAACAC